rnacentral:rRNA from 1 species
AGAGUUUGAUCCUGGCUCAGAACGAACGCUGGCGGCGCGUUUUAAGCAUGCAAGUCGAGCGGCAAGGGUCUUCGGGCCCCUAGAGCGGCGGACGGGUGAGUAACACGUGGACAAUCUGCCCCCCGGCCGGGGAUAGCCCCCGGAAACCUGGAUUAAUACCGGAUGAGACGGGACCCGCGGAGGCGGGAUCCGGGAAAGGCGCUGCGGCGCCGCCGGGGGAUGAGUCUGCGUCCCAUUAGCUUGACGGCGGGGUAACGGCCCACCGUGGCGACGAUGGGUAGCCGGCCUGAGAGGGUGUACGGCCACAUUGGAACUGAGACACGGUCCAGACUCCUACGGGAGGCAGCAGCUAAGAAUCUUCCGCAAUGGGCGAAAGCCUGACGGAGCGACGCCGCGUGAACGAAGAAGGCCGUGAGGUUGUAAAGUUCUUUUCGGGAGGGGGAACGACCGUGGCAGGGAAUGGCCGCGGGAUGACGUGAAUCCCGGAAUAAGCCCCGGCUAACUACGUGCCAGCAGCCGCGGUAACACGUAGGGGGCGAGCGUUGUUCGGAAUCAUUGGGCGUAAAGGGCGUGCAGGCGGUCCUGCAAGUCCGGCGUGAAAGACCCCGGCCCAACCGGGGGGGCGCGCUGGAAACUGCAGGGCUUGAGUACAGGAGGGGAUGCCGGAAUUCCAAGUGUAGGGGUGAAAUCUGUAGAUAUCUGGAGGAGCACCAAUGGCGAAGGCAGGCAUCUGGCCAUGUACUGACGCUGAGACGCGAAGGUGCGGGGAGCAAACAGGUUUAGAUACCCUGGUAGUCCGCACAGUAAACGAUGUGCACCAGGUGGCGGGGGGUCGACCCCCGGUACCGUAACCAACGCAUUAAGUGCACCGCCUGGGGAGUAUGCUCGAAAGGGUGAAACUCAAAGGAAUUGACGG